rnacentral:miRNA from 1 species
AUGUCAAUCACAUAAGGAUCUUUUUAAAUGCAGAAUCUGCCUUGGUAAGUCUGGGGCAGGGUCCAAGAUUCUGCAUUUUCUAACAAGAUCUUAGGUAAUGCCAGU